rnacentral:rRNA from 1 species
CUACGGGGGGCAGCAGUGGGGAAUAUUGGACAAUGGGCGAAAGCCUGAUCCAGCAAUGCCGCGUGUGUGAUGAAGGCCUGAGGGUUGUAAAGCACUUUCGUUGGGGAGGAAAUGCUCAAAGCUAAUACCUUUGAGCGUUGACGUUACCCAAAGAAGAAGCACCGGCUAACUCUGUGCCAGCAGCCGCGGUAAUACGGAGGGUGCAAGCGUUAAUCGGAGUUACUGGGCGUAAAGGGCGCGUAGGCGGAUACUUAAGUCGGAUGUGAAAUCCCUGGGCUCAACCUGGGAACUGCGUUCGAUACUGGUGGGCUAGAGUGUGGUAGAGGAAGGUGGAAUUCCCGGUGUAGUGGUAAAAUGCGUAGAUAUCGGGAGGAACAUCAGUGGCGAAGGCGACUUUCUGGGCCAAUACUGACGCUGAUGCGCGAAAGCGUGGGGAGCAAACAGGAUUAGAUACCCCCGUAGUC